ACGGGUGAGUAAUGUCUGGGAAACUGCCUGAUGGAGGGGGAUAACUACUGGAAACGGUAGCUAAUACCGCAUAAUGUCUACGGACCAAAGUGGGGGACCUUCGGGCCUCAUGCCAUCAGAUGUGCCCAGAUGGGAUUAGCUAGUAGGUGGGGUAAUGGCUCACCUAGGCGACGAUCCCUAGCUGGUCUGAGAGGAUGACCAGCCACACUGGAACUGAGACACGGUCCAGACUCCUACGGGAGGCAGCAGUGGGGAAUAUUGCACAAUGGGCGCAAGCCUGAUGCAGCCAUGCCGCGUGUGUGAAGAAGGCCUUCGGGUUGUAAAGCACUUUCAGCGAGGAGGAAGGGUUCAGUGUUAAUAGCACUGUGCAUUGACGUUACUCGCAGAAGAAGCACCGGCUAACUCCGUGCCAGCAGCCGCGGUAAUACGGAGGGUGCAAGCGUUAAUCGGAGUUACUGGGCGUAAAGCGCACGCAGGCGGUUUGUUAAGUCAGAUGUGAAAUCCCCGCGCUUAACGUGGGAACUGCAUUUGAAACUGGCAAGCUAGAGUCUUGUAGAGGGGGGUAGAAUUCCAGGUGUA
rnacentral:rRNA from 1 species